rnacentral:ncRNA from 2 species
AAAUAUCACUAGGGGUGCCUACAAGCUAUUGCUUUUGGCUGAGAUCACACCCUCUGAACCUGAUUCGGUUUAUACCGUCGAAGGAAAGUGAAAGAGAGUGAUC